rnacentral:rRNA from 1 species
GACGCACUCUCAGAGUUUGAUCCUGGCUCAGGACGAACGCUGGCGGCGUGCAUAACACAUGCAAGUUGAACGAGAAUUUGGCGGCGGAUCUUUUCGGAGGGAAGCCGUCGAAGGAAAGUAGCGAACGGGUGAGUAACGCGUAAGGAACCUGCCUCUCACAGGGGGAUAGCAGCUGGAAACGGCUAUUAAUACCCCAUGGUACCGGAGCAUCGCAUGAUGAAUCGGUGAAAGAGCUUUCGGUGAGAGAUGGCCUUGCGUCUGAUUAGCUGGUUGGUGAGGUAACGGCCCACCAAGGCGACGAUCAGUAGCCGGCCUGAGAGGGUGAUCGGCCACAUUGGGACUGAGACACGGCCCAA